UACGUAGGGUGCGAGCGUUGUCCGGAAUUAUUGGGCGUAAAGAGCUUGUAGGCGGUUUGUCGCGUCUGCUGUGAAAAUCCGGGGAUCAACCCCGGACUUGCAGUGGGUACGGGCAGACUGGAGUGUGGUAGGGGAGACUGGAAUUCCUGGUGUAGCGGUGGAAUGCGCAGAUAUCAGGAGGAACACCGAUGGCGAAGGCAGGUCUCUGGGCCACUACUGACGCUGAGAAGCGAAAGCAUGGGGAGCGAACAGG
rnacentral:rRNA from 1 species